AGACUAGAGGCUUGGUUUCAAUAUUUGAUUCCAAGGGUCCUGUUGUUUGCCCCAAACCCCGUCGAGUUGGAAUUCUAGCUAACAAUCCCAGCAGGCCUUUGAGAUGGCACAUGAGGUAAAACAAUAUUUUCUAAGUAAUGUUUUGGCUCUGUAAUUGAAGUUUACAACUCUUGAGUGUUUUAAUGUUUGGCUGUUUCUUUUAACAACAGUCAUCAAGCUGAGAUGUGUGAU
rnacentral:misc_RNA from 1 species